CGCAACGAAUCCUACGCAACAGACAGCCGCAUGUGAGGUGCCUGAAGAAACACUAGGACUACUUUGAUAGAUUCUGAUCGCGCUGCUGUCGUGGUGCAAAAAUCAUCGUUGACAACUAUGAUUGGAAAGCUAUGAUAUGCCUCAUGAUAAAAGUUCUGGCCAGAAGUUCAAAGUCAUUCUGGAUUGGGCCGUGCUCCAGAUCAAUAUUUUUCAAUGUACCAUCUAGUUUAUGGCAAACGACGAUCAUGGUAACAGGUCGUACCCGAACAUGGCUUCUGGAGUUCAAUCUGUGUUUUGCAAUAGUGUUGCAAAGCAUUAAAAUGAAUGUGUUGGAAAGCUUCAGAUCACUAGUGUUGAACAAAAACAUGUGCUGAUCAACACUUGUUGCAGAAACAUUUGUUGCCGAAACUUGUUGCAGCAGCCUGCUUUGAAGAUACAUUUGCAACAUCAUAUGCACCCUGGCACGACACUCCCUGAGGUGUGUUCUACACAGUAAUUUCACAUGGGUGAACGAGCUGCAUAAACCAACCAACGCUGCAAGAACAUUUCCCAACCAUGGAGAACCUUCAGCUAUUCGUCGUCGCUUGAAGCCUUUGGACCUGUAGUUCCAGAAUCCGGUCUAUAGUUAAAGUCUAUUAUAGUUUAUCACUUGUAGG
rnacentral:sRNA from 1 species